ensembl:snRNA U6 U6 spliceosomal RNA
GCAGCCAUGCAGCACAUAGCACAUGGAUCGAUACAGAGAAGAUAAGCAUGGCCCCUGCGAAAGGAUGA